AACGAACGCUGGCGGCAGGCUUAACACAUGCAAGUCGAACGCCCCGCAAGGGGAGUGGCCGACGGGUGAGUACCGCGUGGGAACAUACCCUUUUCUACGGAAUAGCUCUGGGAAACUGGAAUUAAUACCGUAUACGCCCUACGGGGGAAAGAUUUAUCGGGGAAGGAUUGGCCCGCGUUGGAUUAGCUAGUUGGUGGGGUAAAGGCCUACCAAGGCGACGAUCCAUAGCUGGUCUGAGAGGAUGAUCAGCCACAUUGGGACUGAGACACGGCCCAAACUCCUACGGGAGGCAGCAGUGGGGAAUAUUGGACAAUGGGGGCAAGGCUGAUCCAGCCAGGCCGCGUGAGUGAUGAAGGCCUUAGGGUUGUAAAGCUCUUUAACCGAUGAAGAUAAUGACGGUAGUCAGAGAAGAAGCCCCGGCUAACUUCGUG
rnacentral:rRNA from 1 species